AAAAGUAGCAUUUCAUAUUCUAAAAGAGUUUGAUAAAACAGAAUCUAAAAUAAUCUCAACAAGCCAUCUAAACAUCAUAAGAAGUGGUUGAGAUGUAACACAUACACCACAUACAUAGUCCAAAAACUAGAAAGACAUAAAGCAAGUAAAAAUUUCAUGGUCCUCGUAAUACAUGACUCACGCAGUAUUGAAUUUGAUAGAAUAAUCAACUAAUCACGAGUGUGAGAGGUAGGAGCACCAGACCCUACAGUAAUGAGACAAUAUAGACAUAAGUAUGCAUUCGUACAUGAAAUGUACUAAGUAUGAGACAAUAUGUAUAACUAGACAAGAUGACAUGAAUAGCUUAAAUAUGAAAUCCAUGACAAACAUUUGAACAUUUAAAGGUUUAAAGAAGCAACAACAUAUAUUUCAUAAGAUAUGGUCCAUGCGUUUAAAAUAUGAGAUAUAAGAAAAGCAUUUGGAGAACAAAAUCGCAUUUGUGGGAUAUUACUGACAAUAAGACCAUAAGAUUUAUAUCAUGGAAUCAGUAUGUCCCUCAUACUAAAAGAAGGGAUUUCUACUUUACAAGGUAGAAUUUGUACACAUCAUAUUUUUCUAAAGUGGAUCCGUUAGUUAGGUCAUUUAUAAUAAUUCUACUGAGGCACAUAGUUACAGACUAUAAGUUGUUACUAGAAAUUACCCUAUUUGAGCAUCCGCCUCAAAGCCUUCUUGGUGCUUAGUCAAAAUGUCAAUGAAAUUGACAAAAAUCAAAAUCAUUAUAACAUAGGAAAUAUAUGAUUAAUGGUUAAUCCAAAUCCAGAUAUCAAAACAUAGAAUAGCUCCUUAAAUUACAAUUCAAGCAUAGGUGAAAAAACCUUUCACUAUUGUGAAUCCAUAUGUGAGAAAUUUUUUAACAAUCAUGAUUAUAUUCGUAUGUGAGAAAACCUUUCACAAUAAUAUAUAUACUUCCAUCUAAAAGCAUCAUAUCAUCAUAAACAUCAUUUAUAUAAGACAUGCAUAAUCCUUCAAGCUUCGUUCAAAAAUUUAUGAAUUUUUCACAAGUUCAUAAUUUGAAAGUCAUGGAUGAUGGUUGACUUCAUAUGAUUUCUACUAGAUAUCAUAUAAUUUACAUUAAAUCAUGCAAUGGAAGACUUAAACAACAAGAAAAGAAUCACAAUUGAAUGAAACUCAUGUAGAAUUAAGAAGAAUCCUAAUUUGAUCAAUUAAAUUGAAAAGCUUGGAAACCCCAUGGAGGAAUGGACUCCAUAUUUGAAUACCUACAUACCUUUCUACUCAAAGCCCAAGAUCAAUAGUGAAUUGAAGAACUUAGAGGAACCCUAGCUUCUUCUUUUUCCUUAGAUUGAGAGGGAAUUUGGGAGAAUGAAUCUGGCUGAGUUCCAGAAAACAAGAUAAUAGGUUUGAAGUGGGUAGAUAUAGAACUUAAAGUAUCUAUAUAAGACUUAGGAUAAAGGAUAAAAC
rnacentral:lncRNA from 1 species